rnacentral:rRNA from 1 species
CCUACGGGACGCAGCAGUGAGGAAUAUUGGUCAAUGGACGCAAGUCUGAACCAGCCAUGCCGCGUGCAGGAAGACGGCUCUAUGAGUUGUAAACUGCUUUUGUACGAGGGUAAACGCAGAUACGUGUAUCUGUCUGAAAGUAUCGUACGAAUAAGGAUCGGCUAACUCCGUGCCAGCAGCCGCGGUAAUACGGAGGAUUCAAGCGUUAUCCGGAUUUAUUGGGUUUAAAGGGUGCGCAGGCGGCGUGUCAAGUCAGCGGUAAAAUGUCGGGGCUCAACCCCGGCCGGCCGUUGAAACUGGCGUGC